CCCUCGCGCGCCGGUGGGUGGGACGCGCCGGCCGAGGCUAUAAAAGGGCGGGCGGGCGCGCGGGGCGCGCAGUGCGGGCGCCACGUGGAGCGGACGCGGAACGGGCGGCACCGCCAUGGCCUCCAACGAUUACAGCCAGACGGCGACACAAAGUUACGGCGCCUACCCCGCCCCCCCCAGCCAGAGCUACUCGCAGGGAGGGGGGCAGAGCUACUCCCAGCAGAGCUACGGGGGCUACGGGCAGAGCUCGGACUCGG